rnacentral:misc_RNA from 1 species
AGUUAAACAGUACGUGAAAUUGUUGAAAGGGAAACGAUUAAAGUCAGUCGUACCUACGAGUAAUCAACCUACACGAGCGCGAUUUUGUGGGUAUGAAGAGGUAAAAACCUUCAUGCUUGCUAAUUGGUGUUCUUUGGGCGUACUUUCUCGUAUGGUAGGUUAACAUCAAUUUCGAUCGUUAUAAAAUGACGGGAGGAAUGUAGCUUCGACUUCGGUUGAAGUAUUAUAGCCUCUGGUAGAUGUAAUGAUUGGGAUUGAGGAUUGCAACGAAUACCCUCUGGGCUAUUCGUCUGAUCUCUGGAAGUUACCUUGGUGUCGAAAGCGUGCUUAUGACAUUAAGAAUGACGGCCAAAAGGUUAGAACGGAAUUAAAUUCGUUAAGGAUGUUGACGUAAUGGCUUUAAA